GACAAACAACUGUUGCUUCUGGGUGCACUGGAAACGUGUGCACAUCAAAUCACAACAAGAUAUUAAACAAAUAGACAAUUGGCUUUUCGCCGGUUGACGUAUCAUUUUCAUAUAUAUAUAACUCAGAACGGAUUGGCGCUAGAUAUAUUUUAUAAUUAAAGUUGACAAUAUUAUCAACUAGAUUGUUGCAAUUUACAUUUAAAGCUUCAAUAUCGGCCUUGCUUAUACUUUGAAAUACAUUUUUCAAAGUCGCGAUACGGAUGCUCCGACGCAAAACAGCCGAACCGACCGCUUCAAAAACAAAUUUUACAAUAACAAAAAGAACAAACUGUCAGCGAUGCAGCAGUAAGCUAGUUAACAGAGCAAAGCGCUGUUGUGGCCUGUUAUUUAGCAUAAAUAUGAUGUUUUUAUCCGGAACCGCGGGAUAAUAUUUUUUUAUGUUCAAGAAGCUAAAAAG